CAGAGAUGUCGUAGCGGUAAAACGUCUGUAUACAGGUGGUGCAUGGUUGUCGUCAGCUCGUGUCGUGAGAUGUUGGUAUAAGUCCCGCAACGAGCGCAACCCUCGUUCCUGUGUCGCCAGCAUUUAGUUGGGGACUCACAGGAGACUGCCGGGUUUAACUCGGAGAAAGGUGGGGAUGACGUCAAAUCAUCAUGCCCCUUAUGUCUUGGGCUGCACGCAUGCUACAAUGGCUGGUACAAAGGGCUGCAAUACUGCAAAGUGGAGCGAAUCCCAAAAAGCCAGUCUCAGUUCGGAUUGGGGUCUGCAACUCGACCCCAUGAAGUCGGAGUUGCUAGUAAUCGUAGAUCAGCAACGCUACGGUGAAUACGUUCCCGGGGCUUGUACACACCGCCCGUCACAUCACGAAAGUC
rnacentral:rRNA from 1 species